GAUGAACGCUGGCGGCGUGCCUAAUACAUGCAAGUCGAGCGAACAGAUGAGGAGCUUGCUCCUCUGACGUUAGCGGCGGACGGGUGAGUAACACGUGGAUAACCUACCUAUAAGACUGGGAUAACUUCGGGAAACCGGAGCUAAUACCGGAUAAUAUAUUGAACCGCAUGGUUCAAUAGUGAAAGACGGUUUUGCUGUCACUUAUAGAUGGAUCCGCGCCGCAUUAGCUAGUUGGUAAGGUAACGGCUUACCAAGGCAACGAUGCGUAGCCGACCUGAGAGGGUGAUCGGCCACACUGGAACUGAGACCCGGUCCAGACUCCUACGGGAGGCAGCAGUAGGGAAUCUUCCGCAAUGGGCGAAAGCCUGACGGAGCACCGCCGCGUGAGUGAUGAAGGUCUUCGGAUCGUAAAACUCUGUUAUUAGGGAAGAACAAAUGUGUAAGUAACUAUGCACGUCUUGACGGUACCUAAUCAGAAAGCCACGGCUAACUACGUG
rnacentral:rRNA from 1 species